rnacentral:sRNA from 2 species
CGUCCGGAAAACCUAAUCCCACUCACUUACGGCAGGAGCGGGGGACCCAAGGUAAGCCGCCGGUCCGUAAACAGGACCGGCUAGGGGUGAAGCCACAUUCAUGUGGCCGGACAUCUCCAGUCCGAACCCGACAGCUCACCUCGCAGGCGACGGAGAGGAAUU